rnacentral:precursor_RNA from 12 species
GGUGUGCAGCAUUGAAACGUCGUGGAAUUUUAAGGCUCAUAUGCGCAAGACUAUGUUAAUGAUAUUAGUUUUGAUCAUGUAAGCCUUUAUAUAACACGAUAUCUAACAUCAAAUUCCGGC